AUUUCACUAGGAGGUAAAGUGACAAUCAGGAAGGUGAGAGCUUGCCCUCAAAGUUAUAUAUCUGCUUAUGUACUGAAUUUGGGAAACAGAAGACAAAGUUCAUCUUUUAUCAUUGGAAGAGAAGGACAUGGAUGAGUCCUUGAGAAGAUGUGAACAGCAAUAAUUAUACUGCAUUGGUCUUCACUCCAGGCAUAUGAGCCUGUUGAUGAACUCUUCAGUACAGUGUCUUCAGAGCAGCAAUAUCUGUGAAGUGACAGGAAAAACAAGCAUAAAGGAUAGAAACUGGAGCAUGAAGAAGAUGAGACAUUGGCACAAUGGAAUACCAAAAUAAAGAAGAAAAUUUCUAUUAAUAGAUACCAAAACAGGAGAGGAAGGGAUUAUAUACUUGCCAUUUAGGUGGUACUCUUUGUCUAGUUGUCCAAAAGGUCUGAAGACACAGCAAUACUUGCAAAAUAAGUUUUCAUCAACAGAUGUUAUAAUUGUGUAUUUUACGGAACGUUGUUAUGCAUUUUCUACUUCAAAUCAAAUGGACCCCAUAUCUCUCAUUAUGAGAAUUUAUCUCAGUAUGUAGGAAAGAUAUGUAAACAAUGAAACCUUAGAUAAGUUACUGCCCAUGACAAUUUCUUCUAGUGUUUUAAAAUUCUAUCAAGUGACCCCUUCAGUGCUUGCCAUCCUAUACUACUGCCAGAAGAAUGAAUUUUGCUGCAAGAGAAUUAAUGUCAUUGCUAGCACUAAGAUAUUUUGUAUGACAGAAUGGCUAAAAGUUCAGAAUUGAACAUGAUACACAAACAAAA